GUGUCCAUAACAAUUUGUUAAAAUUUAAUGAAAAAAAUAAAAUAAAUUUGACUAACCUAGUAGUUAUUUCAUAUUAUUAUUUUUCGAUGUGUGUAAACAAAUACCUCUGCGUACCUUUGCGCAUGCGCGAUGCGGGAAAUUGGAAACAUCAUAACAAAAAUGGCGAACACCCGAUCUAAGUGGAAGGGUCCUGAAUCAGUUUUAACCGAGAGCAAGAAGAAACGAAUAAUCGAGAACGUGAUUUUAACUUCACAAAGACGAACACGUAUCUUAGAGACAGAGCAAGCAGAUGGCAUCAGUUAAAAAAGACCGAAGGGAUUAAAACAGACCCUCCUUUGGCCAAGCUAAUGCCUUGAACAGUUUUGAAAGCAAGCCUGAGAUCUAGAGCGUACGUAGAUCUGGUCAUAAAGAAACUGAAGCCAAGCAAUGAAGAUGACCACAGGCGACAUGGAGUACAUGCAGCCACUACGGACGACACUAUUACUAGUCGCACUUAGAUAUCACAGGAUUUAUAACACAAAAGUUCUUGGAGGACAAAAAGUGCCGUACAAGGUGGAAAGGACAUACCAACACAUCCAGGGACUCAUCAAUCUGAUAGUGGCCAACAGAAUAACAGAUAGAACUGGAAUAUCUAGCCAAAACCCUUGCAUCAAAUAGAUCCCAGAAGAUUCAAACUCCUAGCCCAUGCUCCUCCACCAUCUACUGCCCAAAUGGUAGAGGAGAAGAAAUCCCAAUUAAGAUGAAUGGGAAUAAUUGACAUUUUGAGACUAAUCACGUUCCAGAGACUAUUACUUUUGAAUAUCUGUCCUUACGUUUAGUAGCUGACCUGGUCCGAAGGACCAAGGUGAGUAUGCCAUACUGAGGCGUCCGGCAUUCGUCUGUCAACAUUGUGAACACAAUAUUUGAAUAACUUGAGUAAAUGUCAGAAUAUACCAAAUUUAAUAAAACUUUAUAAGCAGCCAUAUAUCGACAAGAUCUCAGACAACUUCAAAAAUAGAAAUUAUUGGACAGUAGUUUUUGACAGUAGUUUGCAGAGUUAUUGCCCUUUGUAAUGGUCUUAUUAUUAACAUUUUUUUAGUUCACUGGUCAGAAUGGAAACUCUUUUAGAAAUUCUACUAGUCCUGAACAAUUAAAUGGAUUUGAUGAAAUUUGGUCAGGAGAAUUAUGUGGCAAUGUUAUAUGUUGCAUAAAUGAAGCGUCACCAUCAUCUGAGUGGCACCUUUCGGGGCAAAAUAAGAGAAUUACCUGGUAUAGCAAAAAAAAAAAGGAUUUAACUCAUUUUUUUUUUCAAGAAUUACAUCUAGUCCACUUGUAGUUUGAACCAUUGUUGGGAGAGGUAGUUCAAAAGUAGAAAAAUGUUUGAAAUGUAACUUAAAUUUGAGUAGUAUUUAGUUUAUUGGUAUAAUGUUACUAUAAUAGCUUAGCUGUUAUCCAUUCCAUUAAUGUCAUAUGAUAAUCAGUGCAGCCUUAAUUUCAAAAUUUAUAUAAUCUCAAGAGACAAACAACAUUGUCUGGUCUGAAAUUUAAAUGCUUAGUCAAAAAUGAUUAUUCAUAGCUGUACAUGUGUGCACUAUUGAAAUAUUCAUGUUAACACUCACAAGUAAUUUAUAAACUCUCAAAAUUCAUUGAUGUCAACACCCACUAGUGCUCAAUAGUCUUUAAUGUCAACACACACUAGUACUCAAUGGUCAUGCAUGACAACACUCACUAGUAGUAGUACUCAAUAGUCAUUUAUGUCAACACUCACUAAUACUCAAUAGUCAUGGAUGACAACACUCACUAGUACUCAUUAGUAACGUAUGUCAACACUCCAUAAUACUCCAGUCAUGUAUGUCAACACUCCAUAAUACUCAAUAGUCAUUGAUGUCAACACUCAAUUAUCACUGAUGCCAACAAUUGUCAUUGAUGUUAAGUCACUAGUCAUGGCAGUCAACUUUCUCUAGUCAUUGAUGCCAAUGCUUACAUCUGAGCAAGACAAUAAAUACAAUGUGGUAAAUUC